rnacentral:lncRNA from 1 species
AGAUACAUAAUCUGGCUUUUUACUAGCUAACCAAUGCAAAGCACCAUUCACAAAAACACCAGAAGCAAGCUCAGGAACAGCAUGAUCAUAAGGUGAACUCUUAAUCCUCUUCCAAGAUCCAACUUUUAAUGAGUAAAUAUCCAUAAACAUGUCUAAAACAUCAGGCUCAUAUUCAUUAUCAUGAUCGUAACGAGAAAUCACAACAAUCUUAUAGUCAUCAUUAACAUAAUCAUACCCAAAUCCAUACAUACUAAAACUACCAACUGGAUCAAGAGCAAAAGGGGAAUUUGGGAUUUUCUUGAAAUCUAGGGUUAUGGGGUUUAUUACAACUAUAGUGUCAUCUUUAUUCAAAAUCAAGACCAACCCAUUACAAGAUCCACAAAUAUCAACAAAUUGGUCACUUGGGGUUUGCUGAAAAUUGAUGGAAUUUGAAAAAACACCAUUGUUUUUGAAGGUUAUAGUGUGAAAAGAGUGGGAAUUUGAUAAAAGAAUGAGUUUUUCAGGUUCUUGAAAGUGAAUUCUUGUGAAGUGAGAUUUGAGGAAUUGUUUAUUAGAGAGAAGAGAAUUUAAUGGAUUUGAUACACACCUUAAUUGGCCUAUGGAUUUUGCAGGUAAUCUGCAGAAGAUGUUGAUUAAGAGUUCUUGAGGGAGAUAACCUCCAUUGAAAAUGGACAUUUUUAUUUUUUGGAAGGAUUGAGUGAGAAAUGGUUGACUUGAUUUUGGCUUCACUCUCCACUUGUUGGCAU